rnacentral:miRNA from 1 species
UCUCGUCUGCAUUUUGUGGAUG